rnacentral:ncRNA from 2 species
AGUUUCACAAAAGCGCCUGGACUAAGCUUUGGACGGGAAGAAAGCUUAGUUGACGAGGAGGAGGUUUAUCGAGUGUUCGGCGGAUGCCUCCCGGCUGAUGCGAUGACAGCCGCGAGUUCUUUCUUAAAACAAAGAGGCGACUCUUUGCACAAAGGAAAGAACGUUCAUCGCA